AUGGAACAAUGCCCUGGAAAGAAACUUCAAUCCCCUUCCAUAGGGCAAAGAUGAACAGGGCUUGGAUUUGAUGAUCUCAGAGGUCUUUUCCAACCUAGUUCCUUCUGCGAUUCUGUGAAAACUGACUGAAAUUACAUUAAAAAUAUUUAAAUUUUGUAUCACGUCCAACACCUGGGGCAGCACAACAGCUGAGGGCGGGUGCCAUCGGGCCCACCCCAGCCUGUUGUAGGCACAGAGUUUAUGGGAAUUGGGAUGGGGUUGUGCUGUAGGCACAGAGUUUGUGGGAAUUGGGAGUGGGGCUGUGGCCCAGUCUCAUCCCCAAUGGGCACAGCUGUGAGAAGCAGGUGAGCACCAUUGAAGGCAAAGAUCCAUGGAGUGCCCAGGUGCAUUGACCAACCACCAAGGGAACAGAGGGCACACAGGUGCACUGCAUGUGGGAUGAAGAGUAUAAAAGGUUGCACUGUGGCACCAUAAAUAGCAUCAGAUACUUAAAGCUUUCUUUGGUGUUGGUUGUGUCUCUGCCAUCAUCCUGACACUGGCCCUUCCUCCUGGCUGAGUUUUGCUUCCUGAGCAUCCCCUUUGGAGGCCUGUGUGGAGGUAUUCAAAUCUUAGAGAAGAAAGCUGAAUGAAGUAUUUGGACUGCUCCAGCCUGGGAUGUAUUUGCUGCAAGGUGGGAAAAAACUGUCACAAGGUGAAAAACUCUGUCAAGCUGGUUUGUUCUCGAGAUGCUAAUGGACAAGAAGAGGCCAGAAUCUGGAAGAAUCCAAGGAGGAAAUUUGUUGAAACUUCCAAAUAUUUAACCAAGAUUAUAAUUACUGAUGGAAUUGAGGAUUGAUCAUUUUUUUUUGAGCUGUCAUUAUGUAAGAGAUCUCAUCCCAGGGAAGGCACUUGGCAGGACACCUUUUCAAAGAUUGAGGCAGGGGAGAAACAAGAGCUUGGGGGAGAGAGAGUUUCCUUCAAGAAACAAGAGGAUCCAUUGAAAUUUGAUAUUUUAUAUGGGAGCAUUCUCUGGGCCACACCUUUGGAUUACAGCCAUGAGGAGCAAGGCCAAACGUGUUACCCACUCCUAGACUUCCAUUUGGGAAAUGAAAGAGGAGAUUUGUGAUUUCCAGGAUAACGUUCUUUGUCAUGAAAAGAUGUGUAAAGAGGAGAAGUGCCCAGCAGGAGAAGAGGAGGGAUAAAUUGCUCUGCCCACAUGGAUUUUAACACAACACCGUGUUGGUUCUGUGCUUUUUGCCCCGUGGGCACUGAGGGGGCUCCAGGAUUUGAUGUGGUUUGGCUCAUGAGGCUGGUUCAGGUGCUGCUGUGAGAUCAGCACUGCUGGGAAUCCAAAGGACAAUGAAGAAGAGCUAUAGAAGACAUUCCUGAACCAGAUGGGUAGAAGAAUUCAGAAACAGGAAAUUUAUGUCAGUAUUGCAGCCAGAGAAAAAAACCUGAGAUAUUUAAUUGCUGAAUUCAAUGAAGCAUGGGCUCGAGGUCCUUUUUCUUAAAGGCAUUCUCUAGUUUCCAUGGAAAGGGGAUCCAGCAGGAAUGUUGGAAGGAAGUACGAGGUGACAGAGUCCUUGUCUGAGAUAUCACAGGGCCACAACUUCAGUUUAGCAGAGCCGUGAUUGUCUUGCCCAUUGUUAGCCAAAUAGGAGAGAGAAACUGAGUAAUGCCAGCCAUGUGCAGAAAUAUCAUUAGCACAGGACACUUCUCAUUGAUUAUGUGGCAAAAUAAGGUUUUGCUGCCUGUGGAGGAGCUUUUAUUUGGAAAUUUUGGCCCCUUGCAUCAUGCUUGUGCUCCUUUCUCAAGAGAGAGGUCUGGAAAUGAAGUGAGGUAAGGAGAAGUAAACAACCAUAAAUAGUGAAAAGAUAAUAAACUCAGAAGAACCCACCACUUCAAAAUGUAAAAAUGUUGGAGAAAGCCUUUGUCUGAAAAAAUGUGAUUUCCUUCAGUUCAAAGUGUGACCAAGCAGAGCUGAUUGAGUGACCUCCACUGGAACAGAAAGGUACGUGGGGUAUUAUAUCUCUAACAAGCAGAAAACUCAUGCCUGUUUGAUAUGAGCAAUACACAGAGAAAAAACUGAGUUCCAUCCACAUUCACCUUGAUGAAGGUCACGUCUGGGAACUGGAAAUUGUGAGAAUCAGAGAGUUUAGACAGUUUAAGCAUGUCUAAUUGCAAGCCCAUAGCAUCAUGGCAUCUGGGUUUGAAGGUGACAUGAAUAUCUGAGGACCAAAAUAGUGGUUUGCUUUUUAGGAAGCUCACCUCCUAUGAUAAAGCUGUUUCUUUCACUAGGCAGAACAGAUGAGACCAAUCAAAGCACCACAUUCUUGAAGUUGCAGGUUCCAGACACAAAAGACAAAGCAGUAUUAGAUUUAGACUUUGUGAAUGACUUGGAGUAUGAGCUAAAAGUAAUUUAGGUGAUAAGCAGUGCAGUUAUUCAACCCUUGAUAUCACCAGUAAUCAUUUUAAAAAUCACUCUGUGUCUCUGCACAGUUUGCCAAGCAGAAGUAUUUGCUUCUUCCUGUAAUUCAAAUUCCCCUGGGAGAUGCUGUUUUUACAGGAGGCAGGGAUUAAAGCAGACCUGAAGUUCUGGAGGAGGGAGCAGCUAAGAAAAAUGAGAUUGCCUUAAAUGGGGAUCAUGUACACAGACAGCCAGGGGCUAAAACAAGUCUGGCUAAAUAUACAACAUGUCUUUAUUUUGUGUUCUGAAACUUGUCAAUAUGUAAACUGAAAAAAAAACCCAGAAAAUCAACACGUAAACAUCCAUCACUCCCUACAGAACAUAUUUAGCACCUCUGAAUUUUAAAAGGUUAGCCUCUUAACCCUGUGCUUGUGGUUUGAAACAAUGAAAUUUUAUUCUAUUCAGUUUACAGAUUGAAGAUAAAAUAGGAUGAUUUGCUGAGCCCAUUGCUGAGCAACAAAAUCUCCAUAGAUGAAAGUCCAGAGGUUUUGAUUCCAACAUACUAAUUGAAAGUGUGCACUUUAUUUCUUCUUUUUAACCCACAGAUCACUGCUAUCUCAAUUGAAAUUUGCGCGAAAGCAUGGAUCCAUAACUACAGGCCCAAAAUUAAUUGCAUGUAGAAAUAAUAUGGCAGCUAUUGAUAUGCUUUUCAUAGAGAGAAAUCUUCAAGAAGAGAGGUUCAGACACAAAGACAAUGAGCAGAAGACCCCAGUCCUCCCCUGGAAGGCCUUAAAACAAAGCAGUUUUACAGAACAAACCUGUGAGACCCUCCAGAAAGAAUAAAGGAAAAAGCAGCCCCAGUCAAACAUGACCAAAGCAAUAACUUUUGUGUCCUCUGGCAACUACAAGCCCAUUCAGAGACCAUUUUAAAAAGGUAUUACCUGCUCAGUGCACAGAAAAUGAUGAUGGGAAUAUGAUCUGCUGUUCUUGCUGCUGGUUCCUGUAAUGGUUAUUGCACUUUGAGGCAGAUUUUCAAAAGUUUAUCAAGGUAAAUCCUUUCCCCUCAGUUUGCAGCCUUCAGGCACUUCCUUUCUCCAGUGUCUUCACUCACCUUAUUUCAGUCUUUCUCAGCUCAGGAAUUUAGGAAGGUGGAGCUGAUUCAUACAUCUAAUUUGAAGUCACUCAGAUCCUGGAUGGAUUUGGGUCAGCUGUGGCCACCUGGGGAAUGUUACUCUUUUUAUGCCAUGGUUAAAUUUUAUUUACUAAUACAUUAAUUAAUAAUUAAUAUUUGCUGAGUGGCCUGUGUUUUAGGAAGAAAGAGGGGCUCUGCAUUUGUAUGGAGGCAACACAAUAAAGUACUAACUUGUAAGGGGCUAAAACACAAAAAGCUGAGUGGAUCUGUUGGAUUUUCUGGAAUGCCAAGCUAUGGAGUGCCUUGGCCUUGUGCAUGUCUGGCUGCAGAAGUCAUUUCCUGCAUAGGACUGGAUGCCAUGAAAUCCCCGUGCCUGCUGUACUCAGUGUAGAGUGAACAGAAGAUAAAAAAAGUGACUUCAGCACAGCUUUUAGUGAAACCACGCUUGCUGUCCAUCCUCUGGGGCACAGAUGAUUCCUUUUCUAUUUCAUGAUGGAAGUUAAUCUUUGCGAUUUUAUAUUUACCAUUCCCUCCCAAUUCCUCAGUGUAAUCUUAUUUUGGGAUGCUUCUACCUUUUUUAAGGGAUGGUGGGACACAGUAAUUCCAUUAUUUGUCUCCAUACAUCACUGGAAAAGAUGUAAGCAUCUAUCUUACUGCAUACAGAUAGCCCAGCUCUACAGUAGAAGAAAAACAAUUGGAAUCUAUGGAUUUCCCAUCUUUUUCAGGCCAGUUCCUACAUUUAUUUUGUUGGGAUGUCUUGUGUGGUUUCUCCUAGGGACUGAAUGAAGACUGAAUAUAGAUCUCCUCUUUUGGAUGAUUGACAGAAAGUGUGGUUAGACAAGUCUUUUUAGAGUCAGACAUAACCCCAGCAUAAGGGAUCUCAGAAAAAAUACUGCCUUUUUUUGCAGCACAAACCUCCCUCUCCCCUGAGUACCACCCUAUUACAGUCAUUGCUGACAGAAUAAAGAACUGUCAAAUCAACAAGGUUCAAAAUAAAACUCGGGAAGCUCUUAUGAAACAUGAAAGCUCUGGACUGAGGAGAGAACAACGUGUGCACAGUGAAAAGUUUGGAGGGAAAUAAAUAAAUAAAAUAAAUCAAACCCCUGUGUUAAAACAAAGAAAGAUCUAAGAAAUAUUUACUAUGCAUCAGAUCAACUGUAGUCUAAUGAUCACAGUGAACUCAUUUCCAGUGGCAUAUAUAAACCCAAAUGUUAAUCAGGACAGGGGUGGGAGGAGGGAAAUGGCAACACAUGAGGACAGCUCUGGGUUAUGUCACCACCCCCAGUGCUGAAGGUGACAGACAGGGAGCAGAAAAACCUCAAAAACCAGGAGAAAAGUGAGGCAUAUUUAAUACCUGCUACCCCAGAAUCCCUGCUGGGGAUUGGCAAUCUCAGAGACAAGAAAUGGAGAGAAAAGCAGUGGGUGGGAAGAUCUUAGCCAAAGGGAGAAAUUCCUUCCACACCAGCUUUUUGCCUGACAGCAAAGGGAAGAGGAGAAACACUUUGGAUGUGACCAGAGGCUGUCACAUGUAAUGAAUCUUUUCUAGGAUGAAUAUUUAAUUAGUUUCAAGGGAUUAUGAACCUAGAGUUUAUAAUUUUCACUUACUUAUGCACCACUUGCUACAAGUGGAAACGAGCAUCUCAGUAGGGAAGUUCUUUAAUUCCUCAUCAGUUUCACUGAUCCAAAACCAUUUUGUGCGGAGGACUGAGGUGAUCCAGACUGCUGAAGUCCCAUUUUACACCAUAUCUAAUCUAAUCUAAUCUAAUCUAAUCUAAUCAACAGCAUGGCAUUGUUACCCAAAUUCCUUGUCUUUUCUCAGAGCACAGUGGAUCACUGUAUCACACCUACAGCUUGUGUAUGUACUAUUAUAUUAUAUAUAUUUAGGAACUCCUUAACAUUUUUUUCUUUGCCUUGGUCCCUUAUGUCAUUACUGCAUUGGUCUAUUGUUUUAUUUUAACUGGAAAAUUAUAAUUCUAUUCAUUCCUCAAAGACUGUUGAAUUACUGAUGAGAUCUGCACAAUAUAUCCUUACAUUUUCUUAUGUUUAUUAGCCCAAAUUUAUAUUUUGUGAAAUCUUUAAGAUAGAUCCAUGAGAAUUUACUCAAGACUUUUUCUUUUUUUGAGAUUUCAUUGUCAUAAUUUCUCCUAUAUAAUUCUUCAAUUACUAUAAAAAGUAAAGGAUAUUUAUUUCUACAUAAAACCUAAUUCAUGCUACCAGUAGAGAAGGAAACAGGGAUGGGACUUAUCAUUCUCAAAUCCCAUUUUUGUUAUUUGGGUUAUUAAUGGAUGAUUUUGUUAUUUCCAGAGUAGCAUAUCAUUCAAGUAGCUUGAAAGCUUUUAUAAUUUGAGAAUUGUCUUGUGUUCUGUCAAACAAAACUAAAUAACAAGAAAUAAUUCAUAUAGCACAAACAGUUUAUAACCUAGUAACUGUAAAAGAUUGUAAUUCUGAAGUGUAAUGAUACCAUUGUUAAAGAAAAGGAAAGACAGGAGAACAUUUUUGCAGGUUUUUAUAGAAAUGCAUUUUGCAAUAAGCACUGCUUCAGGCAAUUUUUUUUUUUCUGAUAUAAAUCAAUUUAUUUUGGCAAUCAGCAGAUACCAUCACUCUGCCUACUCAAAACAGAGACAAUAGUUAUUUAAGAGUAUGAAUACAAACCCUUAGUCUCAAAUUCAACUCUUCUUCAGCUGUUCACCAUGGAAGUAAAUUAAUCUGAAUGUCUGAAAUAUCCCACUGGUCUGUUAUGAAGUCAUUUAUGGCUUUUAAAAAUGGAAACCGGGACCUAAGUAUUGCAUUCCAUUUCGUAGUAUUUAAUUUUACACUGUUUCUCAGACUUCCACAAAGCCAAGAAUACUGGAGAACUUAAUCCAUAGUGCUUAUUAAAUAGAAUGCAUUAAACAGUACAAAAAUAGGUAUCAGCCAAGAAAUUCCUGUCUCCAUUUCCAGCUGUCCUGUCAAGACAUGUCCUAUUCUGUUGCUGCAGCACAAAAAUCUGAACUCAGCUUCAUCUCUGACUGCAGCACAGCUUCAGGAGAUGCAAGUAGACACAGAGGGACUGUCCUAAAUUCUGCCUCAGGGCCUCCUCAUCUCGUGCUGAGCUGUGAGCCUGCCAGGCAUAUGAUACUUCCAGAAGAGUGUCUCAAUAAUGGAAAUCAGUGCCUUUACUCUGGUUUGGUUUUUUUUUUUCAUAGCUUUUCAUGUCAUCAUUAACUUAAUUUUAUCAAAGUAGGAUGCAGCUUUUCUAUAAACUUGUGGCAGGGGAGGAGAUUUUAUUUAGCAGUCUGAACUUGUGUGUCAGUCAGGAUAGCAGAGGGAUAUGAGAAAGUAUAUUUAAAAACAUCCUCAGUGGAUCCAUUUUUAAGUUAAUUCCAUUCAGCAGAUGCCCUUCCUAAACUACUUUCAAAUGACUGCAUUGCUUAAGUUCAAUUUCCAUAACUACUAAAUAGCACUUUUUGCAGUGACAUGCAUGAACUAAA